CCCCUAGAUGUUCUGGGCCGCACGCGCGCUACACUGAACAGUUCAACAAGUCUUAACCUUGGCCGAUAGGUCUGGGUAAUCUUUGAACGCUGUUCGUGAUUGGGAUAGACCUUUGCAAUUAUGGGUCUUCAACGAGGAAUUCCCAGUAAACGCAAGUCAUCAGCUUGCAUUGAUUACGUCCCUGCCCUUUGUACACACCGCCCGUCGCACCUACCGAUUGAAUGGUCCGGUGAAAUCUCGGGACGGCGGCUUGGUCGCUUGCGUCCGACUGCUGAAACUUGAUUAAACCAUAUCAUUUAGAGGAAGGUGAAGUCGUANCA
rnacentral:rRNA from 1 species